CGGGACAGUAUGAGCAUAUGGAAGCUGCUCCGAUGCCUCUCAGUGGUCAUGCCCUGUUGAGCUCAUUUCUAGGGUUUGGGACUGCCUUGAAGUUUGAGAAACUGAGCUUCCUGUGGACCUGACAGACUGGACCUUCCCGAUCUCAUCUGCCCUCAGAAGUUAAGCAUGGUUGAGCCUGAUGCGUUUGUGGCUAGAAGUCAUGUGACAUGUUGUAGCCAAUAGAUGAAGCCAACAGAUGAAUCACUCACUGUGCGACUCAUCCAGGAAAAGUUAUAAAAAGUAAUGGAUGCACUCAAGCCUUCUUGCUGGUUUGGUUCUUCUUUCUUCCUUUUGAAUGCUGAUGCCAUGCCUGGAGGAGCAGCAGCCAUCUUGAGACCUAAGAAGAAAGAAGAAAUUAGAUGGAGUCUGAGUUCUUGAAGGUGUUCCUAGGCUGCUACAUCAGACUUGAGCUGCCUACUCUGGACUUGCAGUACUGAUAGUAAACUCCUAUAUGUUAAAACUACUGCCAUCACAGUUCCUUACUGAAGGCAUCCUGGAUGCUAUACUAUACAAGUACCCCACAAUAUAUGUUCCCACUGACUUUUUUAUGUAUUUCCCAACUACUUUAUUUUGUUUUACUCUGGAAAUUAUUAGUCAAAGGGAAGGUGGGAUUAUGGGAGGUAUUUUUGUUUGUUUUCUUUUGUUUUUUUGGCUCUGGAUGUGUCUGUCAUUCAUGGCAUAGAGGUGUGUUGUUGUAACCACAGGUGAGUUAGGAUGACUUACAGGCCACUUAAGGAGCUAAGUCUGUUACUGCCCAUUAAGAGUGACCAUGUACAGAAUGGGUCCACAUGAAGAGAUGUCUGUGAUCUGAGCUUUACAGAAAAUCUGAGGAGGGAAAAUGACAGACAAAAGAAGGGUCUGAAACUGCUCUUGCCUAUGUAGCUUCUGCCAGGGGCUCCUUGUUCUCUGGGGCUACAAAGCCUAGCCCAAGCUCUGCCAACCACCACACAACCGGCAUUUAGGAUGGAUACCUCUUUGCAGUAGGAGAUACCCUGCACAUAGUAGGAUGCUUAGCAGCAAUCCAGGAGCCUACCCACUGGAUGACAGUAAAUCUUCUGCUUCUGGGUUAUAACAAUUAAAAUGUCUCCAAACGUUGCCAUAUUCUUCCUGGGGGAAAGGAACAAAAACUGGCUCCAGUUGAGAAGCAACUGGCAUAAGAAACAGCCCAAUUACAAAAAAAAAAAAAAGAGUGAAAAUGCUGGUUCUGUUCAUCACUGGGUAGUCACGUGACCUGAAGAAGAAAGGGACACUGAUGACAUGGUUGCCACAAGGGCUGGAAUCAAAGAAAGAUGUCGUAUCCACUGACACCCUUCAUAACUGUGACCAAGAGGCCCCCUGGGGCACUGAGCACACCUGUAAAGCGAGGCUGUCCACAAGGAGUCAGAGUGGGAACUCACAGAAACACCACGACACCCCAAAGUGACAGAUGGGAUUCCUUCUGGCUUCUAGGUAUUGUGUAUCUUCUGAUACCUCAAAUGUGCUGCCAACAAUUCUUAUAUUUGUAAUUAUGUAAAGAACCAUGACUGCAGCUGGAGCUCUGCAACCCCUUCUGGAAUAAGGGCUUCUCCCCAGGCCCCUUAAAUUGAGAAGUUAGUGAACAUUCACUGAGUGCAGCCCCACAGCAGGCAACAAGCUGGAUGCUGAGGCUGUGACAAGGAACACAUCAGAUAAGAUCUUUGCCUCCCAGAGCCGGCAGGCACUUGAGGAAGUCAGACUAUUAAACAAGAGAUUACAAGACCA